rnacentral:lncRNA from 1 species
CAUUGUAAGGACAGCACUUCCAGUUGCCUUCAAAUACUUCAUCAUAGACACUUUGCUCAGCGAGAAACUGCAUUCUCCCACUCAGCUCUCAAAAUUUUGUACAAGCAUCAGACCAACGACUGCGAAGAACAUCUUGUAGGCCACCGAGCGGAGACUGCGACCAUCGUGCCCAGCUGCAGCAGAACAGCCCCGCAGCACAGCAGGGCCCUGACAGCAACCCCGGCCCCGCACUCCCGCACACGGGGUCUGCAGGCGGGCAGGGACGCCGGGGCACCUUCCAGGCCCCGAGCGGCACGGUGGCAGCACCGAACACACCGGCCUGCACACGCCUGCCCGAGAAACGCUACCACAGCGUGCCGAGAAGUCUGUCUGCUUAAAAACCGAACUGCCCAGAGGGCCAGGGGCGCUGAGCGGGCGGAACCGAGCGGGGCGGGGCGCAGCCGAGGGGGGCCCGACCACCGCGCGCCCGUCCGCAGCGCCCGCCAGGCCGCGCCGCUCCGCCCCCCCACGGCGCCCCUUAAUCCCCCCGGCGCCCAGUGGCCAUUUACAGCGCCAGCCCCCGCCACCCGCACCGGGCCCGCCCGCGGCCCCCGGCCGGCGGAGGGCGGCAGCCCUCACCCGCGGCGGGGCCAGGCCAGCCCCCCCGCCCACAGCGCUGCCCGGGCGGCGCGACUUGCCUGCGAGGCGCGGGCCGGGGCGGGCCGCGGGGCAGGGCCUGCGCGGCCUCCGGCACCGAGCGGCGGCGCGGCCGCAGGGAGCGGCGGGGCCGCCCGGCGAUGGCGGGGGGAGGGCAGGCGGGGCGGCGGCGGAGCCGGCUCCAGGCGCGGCGAGCAAGCAGGGCGGCUCCGGCUCCAGCCGCCAGCGGCUCCGCGUCUCCCCCAGCCCCGCCCCGCCGGCGCCCUGACAGCAUCGCCGGGACCCGGAUGGGGCCGCGCCCACUGCCCUCCGCGCCCGCACGCCGGUGCCCGGAUGAAGCCGCGCCGCCGACCCGGCACCGCUGCCUGCCGCGCCGCGGGGAGGGGUGCGGGCAGGAGUGCCUUCCCGCCGCCGCCUUUCGGGAGCGGGGCCGCAAGGCGGAGGUGCGGCCCCUCCGCGGCCGGGGCGGUGCUGCCGGCGGCUGCCCCGGAUCCAGUCCCCGCCGCCGCUUCCUGCUCCCGCCCCGCCUCACCAUAG